ACUAUACAUGCAGUCGAGCGGACUUUCAUUGGUGCUUGCACCUUUGAAAGUUAGCGGCGGACGGGUGAGUAACACGUGGGUAACCUACCCUGUAGAUUGGGAUAACUCCGGGAAACCGGGGCUAAUACCGAAUAACACUUUUGACCUCAUGGUCGAAUGUUAAAAGACGGUUUCGGCUGUCACUACAGGAUGGGCCCGCGGCGCAUUAGCUAGUUGGUGAGGUAACGGCUCACCAAGGCAACGAUGCGUAGCCGACCUGAGAGGGUGAUCGGCCACACUGGGACUGAGACACGGCCCAGACUCCUACGGGAGGCAGCAGUAGGGAAUCUUCCACAAUGGACGAAAGUCUGAUGGAGCAACGCCGCGUGAGUGAAGAAGGAUUUCGGUUCGUAAAACUCUGUUGCAAGGGAAGAACAAGUAGCGUAGUAACUGGCGCUACCUUGACGGUACCUUGUUAGAAAGCCACGGCUAACUACGUGCCAGCAGCCGCGGUAAUACGUAGGUGGCAAGCGUUGUCCGGAAUUAUUGGGCGUAAAGCGCGCGCAGGUGGUUUCUUAAGUCUGAUGUGAAAGCCCACGGCUCAACCGUGGAGGGUCAUUGGAAACUGGGAAACUUGAGUGCAGAAGAGGAUA
rnacentral:rRNA from 1 species